UACGUAGGGUGCAAGCGUUGUCCGGAAUUAUUGGGCGUAAAGGGCUCGUAGGCGGCUUGGUAAGUCGGGGGUGAAAGUCAGCGGCUCAACCGCUGGACUGCCUUCGAGACUGCCUGGCUUGAGCAUGGUAGAGGCUGGCGGAAUUCCCGGUGUAGCGGUGGAAUGCGUAGAGAUCGGGAAGAACAUCGGUGGCGAAGGCGGCCAGCUGGGCCAUUGCUGACGCUGAGGCGCGACAGCGUGGGGAGCAAACAGG
rnacentral:rRNA from 1 species